AUUGAACGCUGGCGGCAGGCUUAACACAUGCAAGUCGAGCGGGGGAGGUUACUUCGGUAACUGACCUAGCGGCGGACGGGUGAGUAAUGCUUAGGAAUCUGCCUAUUAGUGGGGGACAACAUUCCGAAAGGAAUGCUAAUACCGCAUACGCCCUACGAGGGAAAGCAGGGGAUCUUCGGACCUUGCGCUAAUAGAUGAGUCUAAGUCGGAUUAGCUAGUUGGUGGGGUAAAGGCCUACCAAGGCGACGAUCUGUAGCGGGUCUGAGAGGAUGAUCCGCCACACUGGGACUGAGACACGGCCCAGACUCCUACGGGAGGCAGCAGUGGGGAAUAUUGGACAAUGGGCGGAAGCCUGAUCCAGCCAUGCCGCGUGUGUGAAGAAGGCCUUUUGGUUGUAAAGCACUUUAAGCGAGGAGGAGGCUCCUUUAGUUAAUACCUAAAGAGAGUGGACGUUACUCGCAGAAUAAGCACCGGCUAACUCUGUGCCAGCCGCCGCAGUAACAC
rnacentral:rRNA from 1 species